AUCCAGCUGACGAGCCCCAAAUAGGACGAAACACAAGUCUUGGAU
rfam:Schistosoma margrebowiei strain Zambia genome assembly, scaffold: SMRZ_scaffold0003031